GUUUGAUCUUGGUUCAGGACGAACGCUGGCGGCGUGCCUAAUACAUGCAAGUCGAGCGCGUGAAGCUUUUCAGAACUCUUCGGAGUGACGAAAGGUGGAACGAGCGGCGGACGGGUGAGUAACACGUGGGCAACCUGCCUGUAAGACCGGGAUAACUUGCGGAAACGUGAGCUAAUACCGGAUAAAGUCUUUCACCUCCUGGUGAAAGAAUAAAAGACGGUUUUGCUGUCACUUACAGAUGGGCCCGCGGCGCAUUAGCUAGUUGGUGGGGUAACGGCCUACCAAGGCGACGAUGCGUAGCCGACCUGAGAGGGUGAUCGGCCACACUGGGACUGAGACACGGCCCAGACUCCUACGGGAGGCAGCAGUAGGGAAUCUUCCGCAAUGGACGAAAGUCUGACGGAGCAACGCCGCGUGAGUGAUGAAGGUUUUCGGAUCGUAAAACUCUGUUGUUAGGGAAGAACAAGUACGAGAGUAACUGCUCGUACCUUGACGGUACCUAACCAGAAAGCCACGGCUAACUACGUGCCAGC
rnacentral:rRNA from 1 species